rnacentral:tRNA from 1 species
CUUCUCUCUAGAAUUGAGGGG